GACGUAGGGUGCAAGCGUUAUCCGGAUUUACUGGGCGUAAAGCGUGCGCAGGCGGUUAUGUAAGACAGAUGUGAAAUGCCCGGGCUUAACCUGGGAACUGCAUUUGUGACUGCAUGGCUAGAGUUUGGCAGAGGGGGGUAGAAUUCCACGUGUAGCAGUGAAAUGCGUAGAUAUGUGGAGGAACACCGAUGGCGAAGGCAGCCCCCUGGGUCAAGACUGACGCUCAUGCACGAAAGCGUGGGGAGCAAACAGG
rnacentral:rRNA from 1 species